UACGUAGGGGGCUAGCGUUGUCCGGAAUUACUGGGCGUAAAGGGCUCGUAGGCGGCCAACUAAGUCAGACGUGAAAUCCCUCGGCUUAACCGGGGAACUGCGUCUGAUACUGGAUGGCUUGAGGUUGGGAGAGGGAUGCGGAAUUCCAGGUGUAGCGGUGAAAUGCGUAGAUAUCUGGAGGAACACCGGUGGCGAAGGCGGCAUCCUGGACCAAUUCUGACGCUGAGUGAGCGAAAGCCAGGGGAGCAAACGGG
rnacentral:rRNA from 1 species